AUUGAACGCUGGCGGCAGGCCUAACACAUGCAAGUCGAACGAGUGGCGGACGGGUGAGUAAUGUCUGGGAAACUGCCCGAUGGAGGGGGAUAACUACUGGAAACGGUAUCUAAUACCGCAUACCAUCGGAUGUGCCCAGAUGGGAUUAGCUAGGAGGUGGGGUAACGGCUAACCUAGGCGACGAGCCCUAGCUGGUCUGAGAGGAUGACCAGCCACACUGGAACUGAGACACGGUCCAGACGCCUACGGGAGGCAGCAGUGGGGAAGAUUGCACAAUGGGCGCAAGCCUGAUGCAGCCAUGCCGCGUGAAGGAAGAAGGCCUUCGGGUUGUAAAGUACUUUCAGCAGGGAGGCGUUACUCGAAGAAGAAGCACCGGCUAACUCCGUGCCAGCAGCCGCGGUAAUAC
rnacentral:rRNA from 1 species